UGCAUUUCCUGAAUUUAACUCUGUCUUUGUAUUACUCAGCCCACAGGAUCAGGGGUGUGUUUUCUUCCCAGUGACGCGUCUGUGGUUCCUCCUCUUAGCUCCCACACAGACAUCCUUCAAGAAGGGGAAGAGAGCUUUCAGACCAAGCACAAGGAGGUUUCUGACAAUUCAGCAGGCUGUGGUAGAGUUCCUGGAAUGGAGCAGAAAACCCAAAAUAGAUAUCCGGGAAAAAAGAGGAAAUGGUGACAAAGAACUUCCUUUAAAAUGACAAGACCCUCCUUUUAUUGCCACAGUUGAGUCACGUGAAUUUUUGGUCCCUUCCAUGGAGAAGGGUGUUCCCAUGGAUUGAUUCAUGUAUUUUGUUUCCUUCUUGAAGAGAGAGAAGAAAAAAGAAAAAAAAAAAGAUGAUCUAAGUAAUUCCAGCCAUCAAAGUAGUAAGAACUCAUCGAUCUCAAGUUCACACAGAAAUCUCAGUGAGAUAAUGCAGAGCUUAGAGAUUCUAUUCAUGCGGAAAUUCAUUCACUCAACAAAUGUUGAUUCUCUGCUCUAGACCAAAUGCUGGGAUACAGAAACGAAUACAAUAUUGUUCGUGCCACUAAGGACCUCUUUCUCUGUGGGAGAAGAUACAAAGUAAAGGAGGAACACGAUGAAAAAUGAACCUAAAGGACCGCUCUGUUUUUCUCUGUGGCCCUUCGCAGGGAUACUGCCCAUGGAAAUCCCACAAAGAGAAGAGUUUCACAGGCUUGAUCACAAUAAAUCUUCCAUGGGAGGAAACUUCCUUUAGGCUGAUUCAUUUAUUAAAGAGGAAAUGGGGGAGUAGAUGGCGUAAGAACAGCUGGAACACCUGGAGAAACUUUAUCCUUGAACGGAACUGUGGAUUCAACGUCUUCAUUUCAUUUGCUACCUGGUAUUGUUUGUUAUCUUUCUUUGCAUGUGUUAGUUCCUCCUAACCCCCACCCCCGGCAACUGUGUGCCAAGCUUCCAGAUGGAAGGAAUGAUAUUUUGCCUCAUUUUCUCCCUUGUGAUGUCUGGCCAGCGCUAGAAACAUUGCAUGUGUUUGGAAGCCAUUGUUAAUUGAUUGAUUCCUGCCAUUCCCAGUAGUCCUAUAACUUAUUGCUCUGCAAGCUGUAGUUAAAAAAACCCAUAAGACCCAAUAAGGGAAAUCAGUUAACAGUUGCUGCUUCCGUUAACUCUUAAAGAGUCCAAACCCAGUAAUGCUGUCAUUUUGGACUGCAAAUAGAAUUUUUAGGCAAAAAUUUAACAACAGC
rnacentral:lncRNA from 1 species